rnacentral:rRNA from 1 species
AACGAACGCUGGCGGCAUGCCUAACACAUGCAAGUCGAACGAGACCUUCGGGUCUAGUGGCGCACGGGUGCGUAACGCGUGGGAACCUGCCCUUAGGUUCGGAAUAACUCCCCGAAAGGGGUGCUAAUACCGGAUAAUGUCUUCGGACCAAAGAUUUAUCGCCUUUGGAUGGGCCCGCGUUGGAUUAGCUAGUUGGUAGGGUAAAAGCCUACCAAGGCGACGAUCCAUAGCUGGUCUGAGAGGAUGAUCAGCCACACUGGGACUGAGACACGGCCCAGACUCCUACGGGAGGCAGCAGUGGGGAAUAUUGGACAAUGGGCGAAAGCCUGAUCCAGCAAUGCCGCGUGAGUGAUGAAGGCCUUAGGGUUGUAAAGCUCUUUUACCCGGGAUGAUAAUGACGGUACCGGGGGAAUAAGCUCCGGCUAACUCCGUG